CGGGCCUGCGGCGGCAGAAGAGCCAAUUUCUCCCUCAGUGCAGCGUUCAGAACCUGUUCCUCCGGUACCUGCAGGCUCACCAGGUCCCGGAAGAGCCGCUUGGAGCGCGGCCGCAGCGGAUCUGGAAGGACUUUCUCAGCUGUUCCUCCACGGCCUUCGCGGCAUCAAACUGGCUCCCUGCUGCGGCCCGCGCGGCCUGCAGCUCCAGGCUCAAGGCCAGACUGCUCUGCAGCGCGGGCACCUCCAGCUCCCGCGGCGCCGCGGGCUUGUCGCUCGGUGCAGCGCCUGGCAGCAGCGGCUCGGACCGUACUGGGGAAGGCGGCGCCAGGCGGAAACGGACCUGGGAGCAGAGAGCAGGGCCGUGAAGAGGUGGGCGCGGGGUCGUCAACAGGAUGGGUGCCAGGCCUUCCCCCGCUCACCUGCCUCCCCUUCCGAGUCCCUCCCCGCCUCUCCGCCCGCCCCUUCCGUCGUCCGGGGCUGCAGUUUCGUGGCUCGGGGCUCUCGGGCUGAGGGCUCAGGCUCAGGUCCAGGCCGGGCUCAGGCACUGGGGCUCGGGGUUCCUGGGCUCGGGGUUCUGGGGGUGGCCCCGGGACAGCCACGGCCUCCUCCCCUUCCACCGACUCCAGCUCUGACCCCCCAGAGCUAAUCAUCUUUAGAGUUGCCGAGGGGGUGCAGGGUCGCAGGGUCGCAGGCAGGCUAAGUUAGGGCCACCAGGCACCGCGUCGCCACCCCCUCUCUCCCGCCCUCCCAAGCACCGCUGCCGGGGCGGAGACAACACCCCUCCGCCCCACCCUAUUGGUGCUCCUACAGCAUCAUUUCCUUUGCUCCGCCCCCAGCUUCCCGGCGGGCUUCCGCCUGCACAACCUUGGCACCGCCCCUAGGCCGAGGUAUUUUAGAGCUGAAGCUCGUCGAAGCCCUACGGGUCCUCAUCAGGGCCAAUUCCUUUGAAAGUUCUGAUGUAGUGUACCUGCUCGGCGGAUCUUCGGUCGGCUUGUGCUGGGGUGCCGAGUGGGUAGCCGAAGACCCCUGGACUGCGGAACAGGAGACUGGAGCUUCCACCAGCUCCCUAGGUUAACUUGGGGCACGUCCCUCAGUUCUAUUGAGCUUCCAUUUAUUCUCAUGCAACAGGUAAUGAGUUGGAUUCAGAAAUCUUGAGGCUCUCCCAGAAUGGACUGAUGCUCAGUCAACAGACAUGUUUGUGUACCACUUUUCAAUUUAAGAGUUUUCACACCCUUUGUUUUAUUGUUCCAGGAAAUACUGUUGAUGAUCAAAUAGAAGGAAUAGCAUAGCCUUUGUUUUACAAAAAAGGUUUUAAAGGAAGAUCUUGAGAACUGAACUCUGAUCUUUUGCUCAAAAUUCCUUCCUCCAAGGGGGCCUGAUGAGUAAUGCUCACAAAUGGUAAAAUCUCACUAGGCAAGGUUUUGUUAACCAAAUAUAGAGUGGUUUACUUCCCAACCUGAAUCGCGUAUAAGCAUUAGCAGCACCUAAAACAUAGAAAGCCCCUCAUCUUAACUCAAGCAUCCUAGCAGAUCCUUACCUUAACUUGAAAGAUCCUCCUGUCUGGACCUAUCAGAGUGCUCACACCUUUAUCUUAAAUUAGGCAUUUCUUUUCUGGUCUUUUAGAUAAAGCUUAACUCUCUCAGCCAAUUGUCAGCCAAGGAAUCUUUAAACCCAGCUAUAGCCUGUAAGUCCCCCCCCCCCUUUUGAGAUGUCCCACCUUUUUGGGCCAAAGCAAUGUAUGCCUCCCACAUACUGAUUUAUGA